GACGAACGCUGGCGGCGUGCUUAACACAUGCAAGUCGAACGGAAAGGCCCUGCUUUUGUGGGGUGCUCGAGUGGCGAACGGGUGAGUAACACGUGAGUAACCUGCCCUUGACUUUGGGAUAACUUCAGGAAACUGGGGCUAAUACCGGAUAGGAGCUCCUGCUGCAUGGUGGGGGUUGGAAAGUUUCGGCGGUUGGGGAUGGACUCGCGGCUUAUCAGCUUGUUGGUGGGGUAGUGGCUUACCAAGGCUUUGACGGGUAGCCGGCCUGAGAGGGUGACCGGCCACAUUGGGACUGAGAUACGGCCCAGACUCCUACGGGAGGCAGCAGUGGGGAAUAUUGCACAAUGGGCGGAAGCCUGAUGCAGCAACGCCGCGUGCGGGAUGACGGCCUUCGGGUUGUAAACCGCUUUCGCCUGUGACGAAGCGUGAGUGACGGUAAUGGGUAAAGAAGCACCGGCUAACUACGUGCCAGCAGCCGCGGUGAUACGUAGGGUGCGAGCGUUGUCCGGAUUUAUUGGGCGUAAAGGGCUCGUAGGUGGUUGAUCGCGUCGGAAGUGUAAUCUUGGGGCUUAACCCUGAGCGUGCCUUCGAUACGGGUUGACUUGAGGAAGGUAGGGGAGAAUGGAAUUCCUGGUGGAGCGGUGGAAUACGCAGAUAUCAGGAGGAACACCAGUGGCGAAGGCGGUUCUCUGGGCCUUUCCUGACGCUGAGGAGCGAAAGCGUGGGGAGCGAACAGGCUUAGAUACCCUGGUAGUCCACGCUGUAAACGGUGGGUACUAGGUGUGGGGUCCAUUCCACGGGUUCCGUGCCGUAGCUAACGCUUUAAGUACCCCGCCUGGGGAGUACGGCCGCAAGGCUAAAACUCAAAGGAAUUGACGGGGCCCCGCACAAGCGGCGGAGCAUGCGGAUUAAUUCGAUGCAACGCGUAGAACCUUACCUGGGUUUGACAUGGAUCGGGAGUGCUCAGAGAUGGGUGUGCCUCUUUUGGGGUCGGUUCACAGGUGGUGCAUGGCUGUCGUCAGCUCGUGUCGUGAGAUGUUGGGUUAAGUCCCGCAACGAGCGCAACCCUUGUUCACUGUUGCCAGCACGUUAUGGUGGGGACUCAGUGGAGACCGCCGGGGUCAACUCGGAGGAAGGUGGGGAUGACGUCAAGUCAUCAUGCCCCUUAUGUCCAGGGCUUCACGCAUGCUACAAUGGCUGGUACAGAGAGUGGCGAGCCUGUGAGGGUGAGCGAAUCUCGGAAAGCCGGUCUCAGUUCGGAUUGGGGUCUGCAACUCGACCUCAUGAAGUCGGAGUCGCUAGUAAUCGCAGAUCAGCAACGCUGCGGUGAAUACGUUCCCGGGGCU
rnacentral:rRNA from 1 species